ACUUGAUUAGCUAGUUGGUAGGGUAAUGGCCUACCAAGGCAACGAUCAAUAGCUGAUCUGAGAGGAUGAUCAGCCACAUUGGGACUGAGACACGGCCCAGACUCUACGGGAGGCAGCAGUAGGGAAUCUUGCACAAUGGGGGAAACCCUGAUGCAGCGAUGCCGCGUGAGUGAAGAAGGCCUUUGGGUUGUAAAGCUCUUUCGUCGGGGAAGAAAAUGACUGUACCCGAAUAAGAAGGUCCGGCUAACUUCGUGCCAGCAGCCGCGGUAAUACGAAGGGACCUAGCGUAGUUCGGAAUUACUGGGCUUAAAGAGUUCGUAGGUGGUUAGAAAAGUUAGUGGUGAAAUCCCAAGGCUUAACCUUGGAACUGCCACUAAAACUUUUUAACUAGAGUAUGAUAGAGGUAAGCGGAAUUUCUAGUGUAGAGGUGAAAUUCGUAGAUAUUAGAAAGAACACCAAUUGCGAAGGCAGCUUUCUGGAUCAUUACUGACACUGAGGAGCGAAAGCAUGGGUAGCGAAGAGGAUUAGAUACCCUCGUAGUCCAUGCUGUAAACGAUGUGUGCUAGACGUUGGAAAUUUAUUUUCAGUGUCGCAGCAAAAGCGUUAAGCACACCGCCUGGGGAGUACGACCGCAAGGUUAAAACUCAAAUGAAUUGACGGGGACCCGCACAAGUAGUGGAGCAUGUGGUUUAAUUCGAAGAUACGCGCAGAACCUUACCAACACUUGACAUGUUUGUCGCGACUCUAAGAGAUUAGAGUCUUCGGUUCGGCCGGACAAAACACAGGUGCUGCAUGGCUGUCGUCAGCUCGUGUCGUGAGAUGUUGGGUUAAGUCCCGCAACGAGCGCAACCCUUACUUUUAGUUGCUACCAUUUAGUUGGGCACUCUAAAAGAACUGCCAGUGAUAAGCUGGAGGAAGGCGGGGAUGACGUCAAGUCCUCAUGGCCCUUA
rnacentral:rRNA from 1 species